UUAUAAUAAAUUUUUAAUUAACAUUGAAUUAUAAAGUUAUAUUAGUAUUUACGAAAUUAAUUAAGUGUUAUUUUAUAAAAAUAUUUAGAAAGUUGGUAAGAUUUUGUUAGAUUCUUUUUCAACAUAAUUUGUUAUAUUUAAAAAUAAAUUUAUAUUUAUAUUUGUUUUAUUAUUAAUGUAAAUAAUGAAAUAUGUUAUUUUUUUAGAGGAUCCUAGUAUGACUUGUUAAAAGUAGAUAGAAAAUAGAACUUUGUUUUAAUAGAUUAGAUAUCCAAGGAACCAAACACAUUUCUAUGUCCAAACACGUGCUAUUCUAAAGGAAGUCCAAAAAUAAAUGAGAACUUGUAAAUGGUAGAUAAAAAAUAGGACUCUAUUUUAAUAGAUUAGAUUUUAGAAUUUAAGCUGUGAAUAUAGCAAAAGGUUUCUAAUAAUAUCAAUAAUAGUCUAUGUUAAAGUGAUUAUAGUUCAAGAAAGUGUUUUUACUAAUAUGUCAAACUAAAUAACAUUUUUGUUAUAUGUCCUAUAUAAAAGUUCAACAAAAAUUUGUCCUAAGUCAAUGUUUCAUUUUUUUUGUUAGUAGUCACGGCUCUGUGCCAUUGCUAUUUCACUAGGACUACUACUAAUAGUUCCUAAAACCUAUAGGUUCUCCGGCCACUAAUAAGUUGCCAGCUCAUAUCCAAUUUUUUUGGGAAAAAAAGAAGGUAAAAUAUAAUUAGAAAUAAUAUCAAGUGAAAAAGAAAAGAAAACUAAAAAAAGGAAACAAAAAAAAAACAGAACACACAGCUUGUAAACCUAUUUUGUGACCAAGGAGAGAGCCACGUAGAAGAAGAAGAGGACCAAAGAAAAGUAGCAGAGAAGAAGCUACAAAGUCGUUAACAUAAUUGAUCAUAUAGUUGUUAGAUUUUCUUUAAUCACGUCAAAUUCUCAAAAACUAAUGAAUUUGGCAAAGAUGUUUUUGAUUUCAUCUCUACUGGAUACGUCUUUGGAUCCGUAGGCUACGUUUCUGUGAGUCACAUAGAAGAAGAAGAGGAGCAAAGAAGAGUAGCAAAGAAGAAGGAAGGUUGAAGCGCAAGAAACGAACAAACAAGAAGAAGUGACCAAUGAGAGAGUCACGUAGAAGAAGAUAGUCAAUGUGAGAGAAGAUGCCACUUGACAUUGAUUACAAACCAAAGAGAAGUUGAGGACACCUAUGUUGUAGUUGUUAGGUGCAUGUGUAGUACUUAGUGAGAAACUACUAUAAGUAUGUAUAUGUGGUGUUGUAAGAAAGAUAAAUCCAAUUCUCAUAAUAAUAAGAGUUGGAGUAAGUAAAAAUGUAGACAUACAAAGUUAUCUCUCUUCUCUCUCUACAAGAACAAACCAAACGUGAGAGAGUAAAGAGAGUGUGUGCUAGCUUGUGUCAUGAUUGAAACACAAGCAAAACUGAGACAAAAAGAGAACAAAAACAGAGUAAGAGCAAGAGUGAGCUGGCUGUGAGGUGAGGCCAAGCCAGAAGUUCAACAAUUUCAACAUGACGGCCCAGAGCCUACAUGGACUGUUAAACAUGUUGGAGGUGCGAUGAGAGGUGCAUGAGCUGAUGCUGAUCAAGUCUCUGUUAUGGUUAGAACUAUGAUUGAAAUUAAAGUCAGCAAGAACGCUUUCCGUAUGUUCUAUGCGCUUGGGUACAAACUAGACCACGAGCUUCUCAAAGUUGGAUUUGCAUUUCAUUUCCAAAGGACCGCACACAUAAGUGACCACAUGUACACAUUACGAAUUCAACUCCUUUAAUGAUGCAUUUUCUUAUUAUAUAAUUUGGAAUAUGCAGAGUUUGAAACCUUAACCAAAUUUUGAUUUAUCAAACUUGAAUCACCUUAGACUUGUAAAAUAGAUCGAUCCCGACCACCAAGAAUAGUUUUUUUGACCACUUAAUUGAUUAUUCUCCAUUCCUUCUCAAACUUUCUGUCAAACCAAUGGCAAGAACAUUCUUAUAUAUAAAUUGUUAGGGUUAGUUGACCAAAAAAAAGAAAUAGAUUGUUAGGGUUACAAGUACAUUGGACGGAGGUUUAUUCAAAAUUGGGUUUGAAAGCAAGGAUUAGGAGACUCGAAAAUCACUAACACAGCUUCGUCUCUUCUAUGUAAUCUAUCUUCUCUGUAACCGAUUAACCCUAAGAAUGAUCUACCACGGCGUUAAACAACUUUGAUGUUUGCCACCUCAAUUAUGUUAGAAAAUCUAACAACUAUAUGGUUAAUUAUGUUAACGACUUUGUAGCUUCUUCUUCUUCUUAGUCACAAAACAAGGUUUACAAGCCGUAGUGUUCUGUUUUUUUUUGUUUUCUUAUUGUUUUUCAGUUGAUAAUAUUAUUUCUAAUUAUUUUUUACCUUUCUAUUUUUUUCAAAUACUGAAUAUGAAUUGGCAACUUAUUAAUACUUAUUAAUGGCCGGUGACCUAUAGGUGAACCUAUACCCAAGAAUUAGUCUUUCACAAGAUGACGCACCUUUUUUCAGGUACUGCGCUAGUUAAUGAAAUGGUACGUAUACAGAGCCGGCUCUCGGCCCAAGCAGGUGAAGCAUGUGCUUCCGGCCACCAACAUAAUAAAUAUUUUAGCGUCCACUUUUUCCUGAAAACUUUCUGUGGUGUAGUGGUCAAAUGUGCUCUUCUUCUCUAAGGUAAGGCUGGGUUCGAGGCCCCUUGUGUUAAUUUUUUUUCCAGCCAUUUUUAUUUAUUUUGGGCUUGUGGCCCAAAAAUGUCUAGGACCGGUUCUGCAUGUAUAGGUGCAUGUUUCUAAAUAACUAAACUAAAUAUCGAUACUGUUCUCAUUUAUACAGAGAUUUAGUUUAUACUUAUGAUGAAUUACCAAAGAAAGGCCUUCAUUUUUCAUAAAAAAUGGCCAUACUAUAAGGGAAAAAUUGUUUUUCUAGACCAAAAAAUAGGUACAUUGUCCCAUUAAACAAAUCUCAAAUUUUUACAAUUUUGGUCUAUAAUGCCAUUUCCUAUUUAUAAAAAUAAACUAAAUAAAUAGUUUUAUAAACAAAAAAAAUGAAAAAUAGGAACUUCAUUGUAAAUACCUAUACCAAUGUAGAAGUUUUUUUUUGGGUUCUAAAAAUGUUUAUAUGAAUUUGUUUUUUCUAAUUUGUUUUAUCUUUAACAUUUUCUUAAUAUAUAAUCGUUAGUUUUAAUUAUAUUUUAAAAAUUAAACUAAGGGUAUAGUAGGAUUUUCAUGAAAUAUUAGAUUAAUGGGACAAGAUUAGAUUGGUAUUAACCCAUAAGGACAAAUGUAUGUGUUUUUUUGUCUAAAAACAAUUUUUUCUACUAUAAGUCUUAAUUUUCAUAUGUAAGCAUUUUUACUCUAUAUACAUUGGUUAGCUAGCUAUUGAUGGAAAGCUUGUUCGACUUAUUAAUAACAAAAUGUGUUUGCCGGCCAACAAAAAAAAUCUAAACUACAAAAAAACAAAUCUAAAAAUUACAACUUUUUUUUAAUAUUAGCUUAAAAUUACAACAUUUUGAUCACUAGAGUUAGAUCGCGCAGGUUUUUCUCCAUUAAUUUCAUGUGCAUUGUUUUUUCCCUCUUAUAUAUAUACUGUAUAUAUAUAAGGAAUUGAGAAACAUAAAUAUAAAAAUAUAAAUAUAAAACUAUUGGACGUAUAUUGUACUGAUUAAACUAUUAUACUUUUUUUUUACUAAAUAACAAUAUUUUUCAUAUAUUUCUAACUCGUUUCAUUACAUUUUAGUGUUUUAUAAUUAAAUUUGAAUGAUAUAUUUUUCUUGGUUUUCACUAGUCAAAAUUUAUCAACUCUUUUUAUAAACAAAAAAUAAUGUAUACCAUUUUAUUAAUCCGUAAAAUACUAUAACACGUAGAAUAUUGUACAUGUUUGACCAAGCGUGGCAUCACAAUCUCCCAUCCUUGUGAUAAUAUCAAUCUUUAUUUCCCAAGAGUCAAUACACUGCCUAUCUACAUGAGAUGUCACCUUGAAAAGCGUCUUCAAUCUGUAGCGAAAGCUCUCGUGUAUGAACCAAAACUAGAUGAUUCGUAAUUUCUUCUUGGCGGCGUUUUAGAGCCAAAAUUUCACGGUGAGAUUUGAUGAGGAAGACAAAUUU